rnacentral:lncRNA from 1 species
GGGGGAGGUUUUUUUUACAUGUCGCGCCGUAUCUCAAAAAUAAUUUAUGAUUAUUGCUUAAAACUUUACACACUUCUUCGUUAUAUUAAUCUAAAGAUCUGUAUACUUUUUGGUUUUAAUUCAAAAUUUUAUUUUAGUGAUAUUUAGUUUUUUGUAAAAAAAAAAAACAGGGUUGGGGGUUUCACAUGUCCCGCCGUGUCUCAAAAA